UUGUCCUGAAAGACCUUAAGAUACUUGGAAAGCAAAAGCACCUGGAUAUUGAACUGCAAAUGAGCACAACCCCCUUUUUAAAGCAGGACAUGCGGCCCACGUUCUGCGCCCCCGGCGAAGGCGCUGCCGGCGGCCCGGGCGGCUCCGGCUCUCGCCGCGCUGCAGACAGACUAACCCGAGAGACCGGGAUAACGAAGAGCAAGCGACUGGGGGAAAUAACUGGGAAUUGCUCGGGAAGGAAAAGUCAGAGCCUGCCUCCAGCUGAACUCUUUGAGAUUGGCCAGAUUCAACGUGUUACAAACAAACAUAUUCCACCUGUUACAACAAUCUGGCAUAUUACUUUCUUGAUACGUGAUGAUACAAUACCUCUCAGGUUUGCUGAGUAGCAAAGAGAAAUUUGUAAACAGCAGCAUCUGGGGAGUGAACGUCCUCUCUCUGCCACAGAGAUGGUGACUUCUUCUGCCUGGAUGGACAACUGGUUAAAUUGCCUCAGUAUAAAUCAUCAGAACAGAUAAAUCAGUGCCCGCACUGUGAUCUCUUUAGUCAUCAGCGAGACUUGUUUGGUUUAUUUAGUAAUUUUCUAAUUUCAGCUUGCUUUGAGAACAUUUGCAUUUUUUCAUUGUGCUUCUUAAACCUUCUUGCAUUGGAAUGGCAGCUUAGACAUGCCCUGAAAGAUUUACCUCAGCAUUUCUUUGUAGCCGUUGAUUAGCCCUGUGAACCAAUGCUCACGUCUGUGUGACUUACCCUGUCCCCUCAGCACCUCUCACCAAUCAGCUCACUCUCUUCACUUCUGAUUCUCAAUGAAAUCUAGCCUGGAUGUUCAGUGCUAGGCAUUUUAAGAGUGGAUUUAGCCUUAGGAAACCAGACAUGUGCUACCCGACCAUCUUUUUAUCUUCCCUCUUCUGCCACAGUCUCCUGUAAACCUUUGGUCAAUGUAAGUGAAUUUUUCAAAGGACUGGAGAUCACAGUAUUCAUGCAGGUUUUGUGAACAUAAACACCUGUGAGAGAAGGAAAAAAUCAAAGUCAGAGCUCCAGCAAGGAAAAGACUAGAGUUGGUAGUUACAUAUUUGCCCAUUCACUAAACAUGCAGCACUGCCUGCCACAACACUGUUGCUGUUUUUCAUAUCAGUAGUAAAAAUAUAUAGGAAGAACCUGGGAGUAAUUUUCAUUAAAUUAUAUCUUUUGUCACUUCUAUCUUAAAUCUGGGUGUAAAAUUGGUCCUAACUCACAGUCUCCCCCAGAACAGAUGGGAGGGGAAGAACCUCAGACUAAAUUCCAGCACACAGACUGAACUGAUACCCAGCGCCUGAGGGACAGGUUCUGGGCUCUGACUUACUUCUCUGUAUUUCCUACUUAAUAGCAACCUUCUCUUUUUUUCACUAACAUAAAUCCAAUUCAGAUUUGUCUGCAGCCGGUCUGCCUGCCAAGUGUGGGCUAAGGGUUUCACUUGGCAGCCCCUUGCCACAUUGGUACUUUGUGAUGCCAUUGUGAGGCUUUAGGUGGUUUUGACAUGAUUGCACUGUAAUCAGUCCAAUAAGGAAGAAACUCUUAUAUUUAAAUUUUCUGUAAAAGUGAAUGUACCUACAGAUUCAAAGUGAUGGUGAAGUAUGUGGAUUUUUAUCAGGUGUAAAUUGGUUUCAUGGUUUAGAUUGUUAUGUUUGCUGAGUAUCCAAAUUCUGCCCCAAUAAUUACUGGGGUUUUUUAAUGAGAUAUGCAUAUAGUGUAUAUAUAUUGCCUAUUUUUAUUAGGUGACAUGCAUGGAGAAAAAGAAGAGGUACCCUAAAUAUUAUACAUAACAUAUAUCUAUCCAGGAACAAUGAAUAAUAAAUUGUCUCUGGAACUUGGCAGAAGUUUAAUUCAAGGGCCAUCAUGGACUUUGCAUAGUUUUGUUUAUUGUGUAAUAAGUAGUCAAAUAACAUUCAGAAAUUGAAAGUGUAUUUUUCUAUAAUACACAUUUUCAAGCAGGUUUCUUGGCAUGCAUUUUGUUUGUACUGUGCUUGAAGUUGUUUAUGGCAUUAGUGGUUAGUGUGUUUGUGCAUGUUUGCAUUCUGUCUGUUUAUGAAGUAUUUCACUGGUACCCUUACACAGCAUGUGGUUGGUCGAAGAUUAUUUUUGAUAGCGUGUGUAGUCACGCAUUUUGGUGAAAGACUUUAAAGUAAGGUGGGUUAAACCCUGGUUAUCUGCAGUUAUGUAAAGACAGACUUACAGGUUGUACAUCACAAAAAAUACCUGCACCAUUUCAAAGAUGAAAGUGUGAGUUGGUGCCAAUUUGUCAAACAAUCAUACCAAGUCGAGUUUCAUAAAGAUAGGCCAAUUCUAUUAAUAACUGGAACAUUAGUAUAUUUUUAUUAUCAUAGACGUCAAAAAUAAUUAACAGAUGACUCAUUAUAUUGUAAUAAUAACAUGUGUGUAACUAAUUUUUGAAAUGAACUACGGAAGCAAAAACAAACCUCUAACAAGGAUAAUUUAAAUCACUUCAGUCUCUAAUUGACAGCUAAGUAUAGGCAGUACUUUCAGGACCCAGACACAGGGCUGUGAAAUUCAUCUGUGAAUUACACUGGGCUUAGAGUGUUAGUUGAUACUUUUCAUGGUGUUUUGAAAGUAUGGGUUGUUCAACAUGUAUCUAAUGACAUUACAGGAAUAGUACUUGCAGAAAAUGUAGAGCUGAGCAGCUCUAGACACAGACAUCAGUUCAGUAAGGAUUUUUUGAAUGUUACAGAAUAAAAUAUUGUUGCUUUAUUUAGAUGCCUAACUGUGAUUUUAAGAGCAUAAUUCUUUCCAUGAAUCUUGUCCUGCAGUUCAAGAAACCAUUCUCCUUCAGAAAUUAUUAAGAAUGUGCAUGAAACUUAAAGGAAACAGAGCUGACCAAUAAUUAAUUCAUAUGAAAAUUCCACUUGUACUAUGAUUUGAGUGCAUUAAAAUGAGAUGUCCAAGUCCUCUACAGAUUCUGGAGUUACUGCAAUUUUGGCUGUUUUGCAUUUCGGAAGACAUUAUCAUGGAGAUUUGUGAGCAUGGGACUGAAGAGGACAUGAACUACACCUGUGGUAGAACUAUAACUUUGUAGAUGGGGGUAUUUUACAUCAGUUCCCAGUCUUCUUACCAAAUUUGACCCUUUUGAGUAAGAAAAAAUAAUAAUCACAGACUGUUUCAGAAUAAAGUUAGGAGAACUAUAGAUUCCUAGAAGAGAUGUAGGUUAGUUUUUGCUUUCUUCCUACCUACCAGUCCGUCCACUUUCUGAGGAAGCUCCCAAAGAAUCAGGCAACUGCCAUUUUAAUAAUCCAGAAGAGCUGAGGUUACAAGAUUGUGCAAACCACCAGAAUGAUAAACAGCGUAUACCAUUAAAUUGAGACACAGGUCAUAAAAAUUUACCUAGAUCAAUACCCAAUUCUUAACGAGCGUCGAAGAUAUUAACAGGCUCCCCAGGGAAGUGAUCACAGCACCAGCCUGACAGAGUUCAAGAAGCAUUUGCACAAU